CAACUGUUUUGCCCUCUAGCUCAUGAUGAUAAAAGGUUACAAUAGCACCUAAACAAUGUCGUUUCAGUUCUUCCCGGGCUUGUGUUGAGCAAAAGGUUUAAUUGCACGUAAAAAAGUGACAUUAAACCUAAUAUCUGGUGUGUAACAGAGAGCUGCAACGGGUAUAUCAUUUUCGUGCACACUCGAAUGUCCACUCUGAUUUUGUUUGAUCAAACUUUUCGGUUAAGCCGCUGUUGUAUAUAAAUACGGAUCCAGUCCCCGUUCAAGCUCCUGCUCCGUUACAUGUGGCAUCUUCUGCUUCCACUCCUCCAGCACCAGCUACCUCCCCAACAGCCACAUCGCCUGUAGCGAUUUAAAUCCUGCUCGUCACUCCACCGAUUUAUCUUCCUCACCAUCACCCCUCAUUUCACUUCUAAUUAAAUCUUCUCCAGUUUUAUCCUCUCCUUCCGUAUCUCCUCCCAUCUUGCCUUCUUCUAUCCCAUGUCCGUCCGCUUACAUCCCUUCUGAUGGGAAAUUGGCUGCAGCGAAAAUACAUGGAACAGUGCUGAAAAAAAUGGAGGACCGCCAAAAGCGAGAGGAAGAGGCUAUUGCUCCACAAAGGAAAAUUGUAGAGCAAAAUCAGCAAAUGACAAGAGUUGCAAUUGCUCUAAAAAAAAUGGUAGAGCAAAACGAGCAGAUGACGGGAGUGCUCAACCAAAUUUCACAAGCACUAAUCUUGUUUUCAGAGGUUAUGUGUAAAUUGUGUGAUAAAAUAAAUAAAUACAUCCUACCUAAUAUUGGGGUUUUCGAAAUCAAUUCCUGUGUCCUGUGAUUCUUCUAAAACUUCUUCGAAAACAAGGUCUGCAGCCACUGUAAAAUGUUGUGAAGAAUUGUCAGAAGCCAGAGAACUUACUCGGGAUGAAGCUGCAAUCGUAAGCUCAAAGACAUGAUACCUUCCACACUUCCGUAUGACAAACGUUAAUAAGCCUGGUAAACAGUGCCUAGUAUUUGAUGCCACCGCCCUUGUCAAUGGUCGUUCACUAAACAGUUAAAGGUAGCAAUAUCAGCUAAUGUCGAUGUUACUAUGAAUUUUGAGCGCCGUUUCAGUCUCUGUCGACAUUAAAGAUAUGUUUCUCCAAAUUUAGAUCAAAGAAUAGAAAGGAUACGCCCAGAAAUAACAGCCUAGUCACAUUAGCAGUAGAACGCGUGCAUGGAAUUUAUUGGCAAAUCAACGAUUUAUUUAGCUAUUGAUUUAAAUUUCACAACACAGUUCCAGUCGAACUAACGAAGAACUAUUAAGCUUAUUUAUGCGCUUGGAAUCCUGUCCAAAUUUAUAGUGAACGCAAAGCUACAUGUACGCGAAUCGUGGCGUUACUAUCUGCGAUGGGAUGAGCCUCUGAAGGUGCCUAUACAUCAACAGUGUUCAUGGUUAACACUCACAACCAAUGAUGCAUCAAUUGUCAAAGGACCGAUUAACGCUGUUUAUGAGGCUAAUUUCCUACACGGGAAUUUAUUAUUAUGGUCAAGUUAAAGGAGCGAUUGUUCGACGUAAAGAGAAGCAUUGUUUACGUGCCUAACAAUACGAACCAUUCACCUGGAAGUCGCAGCCAAUAUUUUAACAGGUGCAUUUCAUACUUGUAAUUUGAAACAUUAUCAAUCGUCGCAGUUUGCCUGUGAGAAUUCGGAAUGAUAACUUUAAGAAUAUCGUCGAAGCCAAUUACGAAGGAAAACGAUUUCACGAAAUAUUUUAUUGUUCAGGACGAUCUUGACGUGAGAGGAGUCGAGUGGAUCUUCAACGGUCCAAACAUUCCUGCAGGUGCGUGAAACUCAUUCUCAAUAUAAUACUUAGAGAAGUUGUGCCACGGGAACGCACUCAGCAGAGUUUGGUAAUUGAAGCCGAAAUAUCGUCAACUCCAGAGCACUCACACUCCAACCUGUCGCUAUUAUGCCAAAUGCCGAACACACGUCCGUAGUCGAGAAUCCAGUCAAAAACACAUGCGCACUGUGUAAACAGUGACCCGCCAGUUAAAUGACAUGUUCUGGCGACGAUGGAUCCUCGAAUACUUGUCAACGCUCAUAUAUCGAGCAAAGUGGUGGAAAAGGUCAAAGACACUUCAGGUGAGUGACCAGGCGGUCGUAUGCGCUGGAAAAUGACGCGUAAGUAGUGGUACUGAAUUGUGCAUCGGAUCGAUUCACGAAGGAGGCGAUGCAACAAAACGGCAACUACUUGUAACGCCAUCUUGAAUUAUCGCUAUUGGUUAUUAGCGUAGUGUCCAUUUGUCUCUGUCGUUCAGUUCGGUGUCCUCAGUUGUAAGACACCGAUCGCAACUCAACUGUCAAAAAUUUUACAUGUGAAAGCAACAACAAAGUUAUCUAAUGUUUAAUGAAUACCUCAUUAAAAAUUCGAUCACCGCUUGCUGAGUGCUACCAAGUUUUGUUUUACAGAUUUUAGAACCAUUUUAAUAUUGUGAACAGCCCAAAAGACAAAUUACUGUCAAAAUAAUAAUAACACUGUGAUAGUCAAAAAAAAAGGCAAGACCAAAUUCGACGGUUUCCACCUAUUUCGGGUCCUACGAAUCGAACUGCAUCAUUACUUUUUUGAGUUACAAUCAUGGUUUCAUACAAAAUUUUUUUUUGAAGUUUUUCAUCAAAGUGGCCCAUUGUAAGAGAAAGGCACUUUUUUCUUCGGUCUCUAACUUUUUAAUGUUGACUUUUUUGGUAAACUUUCUUUGGCAAAGCUUCUCAGAAUAAGUCCGUCUUUAAGUUCUUAGAUGACUGUAAACCCCAAAAUCAAUGUUUUUUGUGUCCUUAUAGCCAAUAUGUAAAAAAAAACUGAAAUUUAAUCCAUUUUUUUAAUGUUUUUGCCCUCAGGUUUCGUCAAUAUUUUAAUUUACCCUUUGAUACUUAUACAUUAAGUGACACCCCAUCACAUUAUAAACCAUUGCUUAGGAAUGCACCGGUCUGAAGAUUGGAAAAAAUAUGUAUAUGACAUGGUAGACGCUUUUGAAGAAAUAGGUGUGAAUAUGUCCUUAAAAAUUUAUUUCUUUCACCAUCACAAGGACCAUUUUGAGCAGCAAGUUCCGACUGAAUCCGAUGAGCAUGGAGAAAGAUUUCAUCAAGUCGCCGCCCCCUUGAGCAUUGGUACAGCGGAAAAAAGCUUGACUCGUUGCUUGCUGAUUUGUGUUGGACAUUGAUAGAUGUCUUAUUAAAUUUAAUUUAAAUAUUGUGUACAAAUUUAUGAUACUUAUUGAUAACAGUUAUAAGAUACAAAAAGAAUAAAAUAGCAUACAAACAUAGUUAGUGUAGCUUUUUUAAAAAAUACAAAUUUUGUUAAGUUUCUAAGAACUUAAAGAC